GAUGAAGAACGUAGCGAAAUGCGAUAAGUAAUGUGAAUUGCAGAAUUCAGUGAAUCAUCGAAUCUUUGAACGCACAUUGCGCCCGCUGGUAUUCCGGCGGGCAUGCCUGUUCGAGCGUCAUUUCAACCCUCAAGCCCCGGGUUUGGUGUUGGGGAUCGGCUCUGCCCUUCUGGGCGGUGCCGCCCCCGAAAUACAUUGGCGGUCUCGCUGCAGCCUCCAUUGCGUAGUAGCUAACACCUCGCAACUGGAACGCGGCGCGGCCAUGCCGUAAAACCCCAACUUCUGAAUGUUGACCUCGGAUCAGGUAGGAAUACCCGCUGAACUUAAGCAUAUCAAUAAGCGGAGGA
rnacentral:misc_RNA from 1 species